CCCCUGAGCAGCACAGUGAGUUCACAGAGGGGCCAGCUCUGGGCUGCAGAGGGUGUGGGCAGGUGGCCAGGUGACACACCUGAAGCAGCACACACUCGCACCCUGGCCUGAGCCCACCAGCUCUCCUGCCAGGGGACAUGGAAGGGGCACAUUCGCACCUGCAGGCACCCAGGAGGAUAAAGAGGCUCUGCUUCGUGAGGAUGCUGCCCCUCCACCUCCCGAAGCUCACACAGCUUCUCUGUAGGUCCAGUCCAGCCCUGAGCUGACGGGGAAGCAGGUGACUCCGGACAGAGUUUGGGGGCUGCCAGGGCUCAGGGCGCAGUGGUCAUUUCAGGGCUCCCGUGAUUCCUGAGUGCUGGGGGGGGGCGGGGAGCCAUACUUCCGGAAGGGUGAGGUCCCCCGCUGCUCUGGGCUGACCUUCAGGGGCUCCGCACCCCCACAGCAGGCUUCUCUUCCCCCAGCCUCUUUCCCUACACGAAAUCUCCAAGUACAGCUCUCAUGCCGUGCUUCCAAGACUGUGGGAGCAACCGACGAGGCCCAGCCCACAGCCCCACCUGACAAGACUGCCCCUCGACCUGGAUCACUCCUCACUCUGGCCACACCUGCCCAGGGCAGGGGGAGGGGCCGCUUGAGUCAAACCCGGAAUGAGCAGGGCAACUCCAGAACCCUCUCCCAUCAGCUGGCAUUGGGUAUGACACGGGACAUCGCAGGUCUACCUGGUCCCCACCAGAACGAGAGGGAGCUGGCUGAAGCCUGCAGCUGCGCACCCUCUGCAGAAUGGAAGUGAGUACUUCCACGCCAUGUCUCGGCUCCUGGGGCAGCUGCCACCCGCGGCCUGCAGUUCAGGUCCCGGUCCCCCUGCCACAGCCCCAA
rnacentral:lncRNA from 1 species